ACAGGGAUUGCCCUAGUAACGGCGAGUGAAGCGGCAACAGCUCAAAUUUGAAAUCUGGCGUCUUUGGCGUCCGAGUUGUAAUUUGCAGAGGGCGCUUUGGCAUUGGCAGCGGUCCAAGUUCCUUGGAACAGGACGUCACAGAGGGUGAGAAUCCCGUACGUGGUCGCUAGCCUUUACCGUGUAAAGCCCCUUCGACGAGUCGAGUUGUUUGGGAAUGCAGCUCUAAAUGGGAGGUAAAUUUCUUCUAAAGCUAAAUACUGGCCAGAGACCGAUAGCGCACAAGUAGAGUGAUCGAAAGAUGAAAAGCACUUUGGAAAGAGAGUUAAAAAGCACGUGAAAUUGUUGAAAGGGAAGCGCUUGCAGCCAGACUUGCCUGUAGUUGCUCAUC
rnacentral:rRNA from 2 species